AUUGAACGCUGGCGGCAUGCCUUACACAUGCAAGUCGAACGGCAGCGGACCUUCGGGUGCCGGCGAGUGGCGAACGGGUGAGUAAAGUAUCGGAACGUACCUUUCAGUGGGGGAUAACUGUCCGAAAGGACAGCUAAUACCGCAUAUUCUGUGAGCAGGAAAGCAGGGGAUCGCAAGACCUUGCGCUGAUUGAGCGGCCGAUAUCAGAUUAGCUAGUUGGUGAGGUAAAGGCUCACCAAGGCGACGAUCUGUAGCGGGUCUGAGAGGAUGAUCCGCCACACUGGAACUGAGACACGGUCCAGACUCCUACGGGAGGCAGCAGUGGGGAAUUUUGGACAAUGGGGGCAACCCUGAUCCAGCCAUGCCGCGUGAGUGAAGAAGG
rnacentral:rRNA from 1 species